rnacentral:rRNA from 1 species
UACGAAGGGGGCUAGCGUUGCUCGGAAUCACUGGGCGUAAAGGGUGCGUAGGCGGGUCUUUAAGUCAGGGGUGAAAUCCUGGAGCUCAACUCCAGAACUGCCUUUGAUACUGAAGAUCUUGAGUUCGGGAGAGGUGAGUGGAACUGCGAGUGUAGAGGUGAAAUUCGUAGAUAUUCGCAAGAACACCAGUGGCGAAGGCGGAUCUCUGGGCCUUACCUGACGCUCAGGCGCGAAAGCUAGGGGAGCGAACAGG